ACCUUCUGUGGUGUAGUUGGUAGCACCUAGGCAUAAUAAUUAUAUAUCCCAGGUUCAAAUCCCGGUAGGGGUA